rnacentral:tRNA from 1 species
AAGAAGAGUAGUGAUACACAGAAACUGCUAAUUAUCUGAUACUGUGGUUAAAAUCCACAGUCUUCUUA